UACGUAGGUGGCAAGCGUUAUCCGGAUUUACUGGGUGUAAAGGGCGUGUAGGCGGGACUGCAAGUCAGAUGUGAAAAUUAUGGGCUCAACCCAUAACCUGCAUUUGAAACUGUAGUUCUUGAGUGAUGGAGAGGCAGGCGGAAUUCCGUGUGUAGCGGUGAAAUGCGUAGAUAUACGGAGGAACACCAGUGGCGAAGGCGGCCUGCUGGACUGUAACUGACGCUGAUGCUCGAAAGUGUGGGUAUCAAACAGG
rnacentral:rRNA from 1 species